rnacentral:rRNA from 1 species
CCUACGGGAGGCAGCAGUGAGGAAUAUUGGUCAAUGGGCGUAAGCCUGAACCAGCCAAGUCGCGUGAGGGAUGAAGGUUCUAUGGAUCGUAAACCUCUUUUAUAAGGGAAUAAAGUGUGGGACGUGUCCUGUUUUGUAUGUACCUUAUGAAUAAGGAUCGGCUAACUCCGUGCCAGCAGCCGCGGUAAUACGGAGGGUCCGAGCGUUAUCCGGAUUUAUUGGGUUUAAAGGGUGCGUAGGCGGUGUUUUAAGUCAGCGGUGAAAGUCUGUGGCUCAACCAUAGAAUUGCCGUUGAAACUGGGAGGCUUGAGUAUGUUUGAGGCAGGCGGAAUGCGUGGUGUAGCGGUGAAAUGCUUAGAUAUCACGCAGAACCCCGAUGGCGAAGGCAGCCUGCCAAGCCAUGACUGACGCUGAUGCACGAAAGCGUGGGGAUCAAACAGGAUUAGAUACCCGUGUAGUC